UCCACCCACUUUUAAACAUUUGAUUAAAUAGCAAAGCCUCAAACUAAAACUCACGGACAAGAGACGGCAAUGGAUCAAGACUCUCUCAGCUCUCAUGGCUCCAUUUCUGCUCCUGUUGCUCAUUCUGUCUGAAGCAGCUCCUGUGUUGUACAGUGGAGCAGACGUGACCUGGAGCUGCCAGAGUACGUCCUCUUUUACAGCGAUGGACACUUGGAUGCAACCCAGCAUUCAUCCUUUAAGGACAGGGUGGACCUGUUGGACAGAGAUCUGAAGGACGGAAAUGUGUCUUUAAUUCUGAAGAAUGUGAGCAGACACAACGCUGGAAAAUACGAGUGUCAAGUUGCAUCAGCUGGUUCAUUCGAGUCAGGAGAGCGCACACUCCAAGGAUGAAAACUCAAUGAAUGCUGUCCCUGAGGAUGUAAACUCCUCUUCUGAUAAUUUGUAUUGGCAGCAGGUGGACUGCUUCUUUGUAGCUGCUGCAGCGGAUGGUGUCCUGACAUAUAAAAGACGUGAGGACAAGAGAUCGGGACAACAUGCUGCUGAUGAUGAUAAAGUAUUGGCUGUUCAGUUCAUCUGACAACUCACAGACCAGAGGCCUGUACUACGAGGCAAGAUUUGGCGUUAACGAGGUAACUUCAGGUUCAACUCUGGGAUUUCUGUAUCUUGACGGUGGAUCACUUGUUACCAAGUUAAAUCACCGUGGUAACCUAUGCUGUAUACCUAACCUGGUCAGGAGCAGGUUAUGUUGGAGAUUAGAGACCAACAGGUGUUAAAGCACCGCCUACUGACCAAUCAACACUCAGUUAA